GCCGGGUGUAGUGGUGUGCACCUGUAGUCUUAGCUACUUGGGAGGCUGAGGCAGCAGAAUCGCUUGAACCCGGGAGGCGGAGGUUGCAGUGAGCCGAGAUCACGCCACUGCACUUCAGCCUGGGUAACAGAGUGAGACUCUGUCUCAA
rnacentral:SRP_RNA from 1 species